CCCAACUGGCCAACCACUAGAUCCAACAAGUGCCACCAAACAACAUUCCACCAUUUCGGCACUUUGAUGAAAGAGAAGAGUAGUUCCACACACACUGUCAAUUCAAGGACAUACCUACACGUGACAGAAGUCUGCACUAUAUUGGAAGUGAUUGUGGAAUGUCAUGGAGACCAAGGAAUUAUGGUGCUGUAAAAAUACAGUGAAAAUUUCUUGUAUAGCAGGAUGUUAAAAAAGUGCCAAUUCUAAGUCAUCGCCGAGAUCCGGCAUCAAGAGGUUCAGUGCAGACAAGAAUAAUU